rnacentral:lncRNA from 1 species
CCCACAAUCUUAAUUGAAGCUUUUAAUGUUUUUAAUGCUUCUAAUUAAUUAAAAAAUGGUUAAUAUAAACAAAAAAAUGUGCACAUUGAGUGGAAAACGGGACUCACAAUCUUAAUUGAAGAUUUUAAUACUUUUAAUUAAUUAAAAAAAUGUUAACAUAAGCAAAAAAUGUGCACCUAAUCAAAUUAUCACAUAAAAUCAUAAAAACUUCAAAUUUAGAGAUUCUAUUAUAAGGAUUCUAUCAUUGAAGACAAUAUUUCUUUAGGGUCACAAAUAUUUCCUUUUAAGUCCUUAAAUGAGUACUCAAAAGUGGUGAUGAGAAUACCUAAAUAUGGACCUUCAUUGGAGAUACUGUGUGCAUUUAUUAUUUUUAUUUUUUCUUCCUUGAUUUUAUUCCAAAAUUAGGAAAUAGCUUCUGAAAAACUGAUUUCACACUUUUUUUGUCAUCUAUACUUUUGUUGGAUAGAUUCGUAGAAGGAAGCUUACCUUAAACGACGUCAUUUUGGAAAUAUCUCUUGCUCUUAUCGGAUUCUGAUCUCCAGAGAUGGAGGGGAAUGAGAACAGUUGACCGUUGUAGAGGUCUGAGUCACCUUGUUAAAUCGGCGGUCUUUAUUUUUGUUUUUUUUGAAAUAAACACGAUUUUACGUUACUACCCCUUUCCUCAUUUUCUUUGGUCAACGAUACCCCCUGCUUUCCUCAGUAUAUAUAUAUAUAUAUAUAUAGAUUUUAUUAUAUGAUUUAUAAGCACAAACUAGAAUUUUAAAUUAAUUCCAAGUUAAUACAUAAAUGUUUGUGGGAACAUUUAUUGAAAGAUAGAAUUCUUUUAUUCAAUACAAAAGUUCCAAGAAGUACCUUAAACCAAAUAGAAAGGAAACCACAAAUAUACAUAGUACAAUCAAACAUUAGAAAACAUUAUUCGGAAACGAGCCACUUUCAAUGCAAAUGCUAGUGCCAUCUUGUCUUUGAUGUAGUCGAAGAAUUGAAAUUAGGCAUACCUCCAUGUUGUUUUUAAGAUCAACGUGCCACACAUGCCUCAAAAGCCUACGAUGAACCAAGUACUACACUAACAUAAAACCACAACUUAUCAUCAUUUCUCACUUCAUUCUUGUCCCUUCCAUCCUUAGCUCACACACAGAAGGUCAUGAACACAUUCAUGUAACCUUGUUAAAAAAUAAAGCACAAAAAACCUCUUUAACGCCAAUUCAACAUCAAAUUAAAAGAAAAUACCGAGUCCUUUCUUUCAAAUUAACAUCAUCCAACAGCAAGCUCAAUCUUUACAUUCAAAAUUACAAUUUCUGUCGAGCCAUCAAAAUUGUUAUCCAGCCACAGCUACAUGCGAAAACUGCCAUUACGAGCCACUUUCGCAACCAACUUGGUCUCAAUCUAUAGCAGCAUUGCCAAUUUGCCAGAAGAUAUUAAGCUAUAGUAAGUUAAUUACAACUAUAUCAACAACCUCUGCACUUCCACAGAAGGAAGUAAAUCACUUACCUAAAUUGGCCCUAACCCUAAAGCUAAAGUAUAUCAACAACCUCUACACUUUACGAGCCACGGUCCUCUGCUUGGUCGCGUGCUGUACUACUUUUUCCUCUACAGGAAGCCCCUUCUUCCUUCUUACCGCGUUAAUUAGUUUCCUCGCAGUAUUGGGAAGCACACUAGAACCGUCACCAAACUCCUCAAGUUCUUCUUCUGUUUUCGGUACAAAAGAAAGGAUCCUCUAGAAGUGCUUCCCAGUGACUAAGCACAAGAAGAGCACUUGCAGCACCAGCAGUCUGUCUUCUAAGCUCAUCCGCAAAACCAAAGCUUUCAGGAACUGUAUGAGCAAAUGAAAAGGUACCAACAUUAUUUUAGAGGCAUCACCCCCUACAAUCCAAGAAGAGUUGCUUUUGACAUUGCUGACAUCGGCCAAUGCUCUUCUUCCCACAUUUUUAUUUGCUAAGAUAAGGACAACAAAAAUUUGAAAGGAACUGGUUCAAGAUGUGUAACACAACUUUGCAUAACAAGUACAGUCUGGUUCAACCUUACACGCCGAACUACAAAGUAUGCCUUUUCGCUUCUUCAUACUUUUCAAACCAGCCUUGAUAACAAAACAAUUUACAGAUAGAAAGCAGUAAAUAUAUAAUUAAAACAAAAACUGCUUAUCACAAGAAAUAACACUCCAUCCCAAUCCCCCUUAAAACAAGCAGUGGAAUAUGAAUGUCGUCGGUUACCUUUAAAGCAGCUGUAUUCUCCAGAGUCGAUACUUUGUUAACUGCUGCAUUACUCCUGAAAUAAAAGCAGCACACAGAUAUAAUUCCCCUUACAAUCUAGGUAAUUGCCAAGAACUUGCAGGAAGUGGGCAGAUACGGCUAAUAUCUAUUACUUUUAGGCCUCUACUUAGCUACAUCAUUGUAAUACAAAUCCCAGAUUUAAAUUCUGGAAUGAAGGCUUAGUUGAUUUCAGUUCUAAAACAACUAAGACGUUGAUUAAAACCAUAACAUUCGAUAAUUGAAAUGAAAUUGCACAAAUUUAAAACUAAAAUUACCUGAUCCCGCCAUCAGCUUUGGCAGUGUCACUUUCUGUGUAAACCUUAAAGCUUGAGCCACCAACUGUUUAAAAUAUUGAAAAAGAACGUCAAAAGUCAAUAAAUCACCACCAUAAGAAGUUUAAACCAGCAGAAGAGCCAAUAAUUUCUAGAAAAACCGAGAGAAUUUCAAUCAAUCAAGACAAAAUUCACGAGAAAGCAACUUCCACAAAAGAAACCCAUAAUUAGACGACAGUAAUUCAAAUUUAAAAACGCAGCCCUAGUUGAAUUUGAUUGUUUGAAGAAAUUCGAUUUUUCAAGAGGUACAUGGAGACGACAGAUUGUUGGAUAGAUUCAUAGAAGCAAGCGUACCUUAAACGACGUCAUUUUGGAGAUAUCUCUUGCUCUUCUCGGAUUCUGACGGAAAGGACUGAGAACAGUCCACCGUUGCAGAGGUCUGACACAUCUUGUUAAAUCAGCGGUUUUUAUAUAUUUCGCUUUUUGAAAGACUCAUCCAAUUCUCUUAUUUCUACAACAUAUUAAUAUUUUACCCAUCAUAAAAAAUUAAUAACUAAAAGCGUUAUUUUCUCAUCGACCAUUAUUUCUAAAAUAACCUCUAAUGUUUCCUUAAUUGUUAUGAUCCUAGCUGCACCAGAACCUCCUCCCACCUCCAUAGAAAACAAAAACCUUUGACACAUACUUGGCGGCAUCUCUUUUGGAAAGAGAGAGAAACGGAAGGGGGGACGAAGAGAGCAUAGGGGACAAAGAGAGAGAAAUACGGGGAGAUUGCUCCAAUACAAAGGCAGAUUGCUCCAAACCGAUUUAGUCCAAUUGGAAUUGGGUAUUUUUUCGAUUUUAAAAUUUGAGUUGUCGUCGUUGUUUGUCUGUGAGGAAGAGAAAGAGAGGGUAUAGGAGGUAGUACCGAAAUUGAAAGUGUCAUCUCCAGGGCACUUAGUUGAGAGAGGAACACCACAUAGCGAUGGAUUUCCCAUAUAAAUGGACGAAAAAUUGAGUGUUUGAAGCCGGUUUCCCUAAGGAAUUCUCCCAGACAAGUUGUUGUAAGACAAGUUCAAGUGGUUUAAAAAUGUUAAAGAUGACAAGCUUUGAGGAAUCUAUCCUGAAAGGUGGUUGUGUGAGAGAUCAAGAGUUUCGAGCAAAUGCAAGUUUCCGAUCUUGGAGGGGAUCUUUCCAGUCAAUUGAUUCCUGGACAAUUUCAAGGUACCCAAUAGAAUGAGGCUACUUAUUUCUUCAGGGAUUUCACCUUGUAAAUUAUUUGAUGAAAGAUCAAUGCUCUUUACAAGAUCUAAAGUCUUGUUGUACACAAGUUUGCUUCCUUUUAGCGUCAAUGUGGCUUGCUCAAUAAAACUAGUAAAGUUUAUAGAUGAAGCAUUGACAAGUGAAGCCAAAUUAUCCAAACACUUAGGAAUAGUACCUGAAAUAUAUGUCCACUAAAAUAGUUGAACCGUAAUCGUAUCCGAUACAACACGGAUACAUUUGGUCCUCCUAUCCAUAGAGGUAUGUUACCAUAUAACUUGUUGUCUCCAAGAUCUAGACUUAUCAAAAUAGAACAAUUUUGCAACGAAUCAGGAAUUUCACUGCCAAAAUUGUUGUUGUUAAGCUUUAAUAUUUGCAGUGAACUUAAUACCCCCAAUGAAGUGGGAAUAUUACCAGAGAGAUUGUUCAUACUAACAUCUAGAAACCCCAGUUUGCUCCCCACACUCCAUGCAUGAGGCAAUUCUCCAUAAAUCUGAUUACUCCUUAGAGACAAGACUUCCAAUUGCUGCAUGUUGCAAACAGAGGGAGGAAUAGUGCCAGUCAAAUGAUUCUCAGAAAGUAACAAGGUUUUCAAAUUGGGCAUCAUUUGGUCAAUAUUGGAGGGAAUUGGCCCGAAAAAUAGAUUACUUUCAAGAUCAUGGUAAAUGGCAUUAGUGGACCACCAAAGUGGGAGUGGGCCCUCCAAUUGAUUAUGACUCAAAUCAAGAUACUCUAAUUUUGGAAAUUUCAAAUAGGAUGGAAGGUUUCCACGAAAUUGGUUGUAAGACAAGUCUAGUCGGAUGAGCUGGGCAUAAUUCUUCAAUAGCCAUUCCUCUGGUAUGGAAUCCGAGAUUUCAUUACCACUAAGAGUGACGUCGCCCAGUUCAGUUUGUGAUUGAAGCCAUACCCCAAAAUCAGGACCACACUACAAAAUUAAACGUCAUUAGCGAGGGUCAAAUGCUGUCGGAAAAGGUAAUUUGCCGUCACAAAUACUUAUUUCCGACAGGAAAAAGCCCUCACUGGGCGUCGGAAAUUGCUCCAUCGGAAAUACUUUUUUCUCGACCAGCCGUCGAAAAUGCUUCAUUUCCAAGGCAUGAGGCUCGUCGUUACUAGUUAUCUUUCCGUCGGAAAUGAAUUUUCAAAAUGACAAAAUUAUUUUAUUUUCGACAUGUCAAUAUGGUCGCAAAUACUUAUAUGCCCGUUGAAUAUACUUUCUAAACGACGACAUCUCUUUUUUCCAAUGAUUUUUUAUGACCAAAACAUUGUGUCAAAAAAUGUUUUUCCAAUAGUAAAAUGUUAUUUGCAAGAGUAUAUAAUCGUCGCAAUUACCAUUACUAACAAUUAAGAAUUGUCAAAAAUAUGCAUAAAAACAUAUUUAUGAGGGUCAAGAGGCGUUGGAAUUAUAUAUGGGCGAUUAUCCUAUUUGUCGGUAAAAAACAAAAGGAUACAAAUACAAUUUUUUUUUUAUAAGUUCAAUAAUAUUUUCAAUGGCAAUUUUUAUGGAAUGAAUUGUUUUAUAUUAAUGAAACCAUAUAUUCAACUACAUAUACCAAAAAUCAAUGUAAAAAAUUUAAAGUACUUGUUACAAUCCUAUGAUACGUCUUGUAACGCUAGUUUUCCAUGUCCGCUUUAACCAACCAUUGAGGAGUUCGAAUGUAGAAGCGCUUCAACAAUGAAAAUCCCACCUUCAUGACCUUGGCCAUGUUUGAUAUGUUUCUUUACCUGCAAUGACAGAGUAAAUGUUUAGCAGCAACCAAAUCCAUGUAAUUCAUUGGAACCGAAUGACCAAAAGCCUUGAGCAUUGAAAGAAAUUAGUUUUGAGACUAUUAAGGAUCAAAUAGCAAAAAGCCUUGAACAUUAUAUACUACAUUCGCGUUUGAAUGGUAUCCUUCAAACGUAAUUACUUUUUUCAACACAAUAGAACUCAUCCAAUAUGCAUUACACAAGACAGGGAACUUGAAUACUAAUAUGACCAUUAGAAGAGCUUCCAAGCAUUAAAGAUACUUUUAAUAAAUAAGCAUACUGUCUACAGACUAUCAACCACAUUACACUGGCCAAUUCCAAUUGCUCAAUGGUAGUCGUGAGAAAAAAGCAUAAACCCAAAAACAUGAUCGAACAUUUUUGUUGAGAUAAUCAUAGAGAUCAUCUACAAUCUCAACCGGAUUGGAGUGACCACAACAGAAUGGAUUUGUAAGAAGUUCUCUCAUGAAGAAAGAUGUUAUAAUAUUGAAUGAAACUAUAUAUAAAGUUGAUUAAAGAAUUGCAAGACAAAAUUAGUUAAACGAGAACAAUAUACCAAAUUACAAAUAAUAGGGCUGGACUAAUACCAGAUUGUUGCCUUCCACGAUGGCGUGCUUUUGAGAAGGAAUGACUCGCUUAAUGACACUCACCCUUGUCUUUGCCUUUUGUUAUCAUUACCUACAAAUGAGAUUAGAAAACUAUUAAUUAAUAAAUAACAGAUUAGAAAACUAUUAACACCCACCCUCGCUUGAUGACAACCACCCUUGUCUUUCUAACCCAUUUCAAAUUAAAACAGAUAUCCCCUGCAGAGCCAACAACAAACAACAUUACAACCAAAAUUUGUGGUAUUUCAAUGGCUGAUUAACAUCACACUCACAUCAAAUCUUAUAGCAUAAGAAACAACCCCAUUUCCUAAAAUAAGCAAGUGGUCUCAUCGAAUUUCCUGAUAAAUACAAUUUUCAAGGAAGAACUUGGAUUUACAAGUAAAGUAGCAAAUAACCCAGUUUCCAAACGCGUUCCAAAAUGUCAUAACCCUUUGAGAAAUUUCAUCAAACACUUGGUGGUCAUCCUACGCUUAACGAAAAAUUACAAGAAAAAACAGGUACUCACUGUUACAGAAGAAGCCGCGGACUUGGGUGCGCAGUCGACCGAAACUCAGCGCAGUUGUGGUGUGUAGCAAAGGAGCCCAUGGUUUUCCCUUCUAAAGUUAAGUUCAGAUCAACGAAUUUUGAGGGGUUUGUUGUUGCAGAGUAGAAGGGAGGACGAGUUCGCCAGGAACUCGCCGGGUUUGCAAUCAGAGAUGGUUUUGCUUUUGAUUUCGAAAAGGCGGAACUGGGCUCGGGUUUGCAGAGGUGGAAGCGUGUGGAAAUUUUUGGAUGAAGGCAGAGAUAGAGAGCAACGGAGAAGAUGGUGUUGAUUUUGAUGAACGAAAUGAAGGCUGGAGGCUAGGGUUUUGUUUAUGAAAAGGAAAGGCAGAGAAGCUACUUGAGAUAAGUGAAAAGGACGAGAGAGUGCUAAAGGGCACUGAGUGCUCUCUUUGGAAAUUGAGAGUUGAGUUUUUAGAGGUCCAUGCCAAAAUUUCUGCAGCCCACCAAAAUUUUAAGGCCUGUUUGGUAGUGUACUUGAAUCUAACCUUUUAAACUCAAAAAUAAUUUUCAAGUUUUAGGCUUUAAAAACUUGUUUGGUAGGACUAUUUUCAAAAACUGAACUCAAGACUAACUCAAAAAUAUAGUCUAUUCUCUAAAAACAUAAAAAUUGAGUUUUUAGAGUUUUUAAAUUUAAAUUCACUUCUUUCUUUUUUCUUCCUCAUCCCCUUUCACUUCAAAUCUAUCUCUCUUUUCUUCUUUCUCUCUCCUUUUUUUUUUAUCUUUUUCGUCUCUUCUCCAAUUCGCUCUCUUCAUUCUUUAGGUUCUUUUUUUCACCUAUCUUCCUCUUUAUCUCGUCUAAUUCUCUAUCUUCUUUCUUUUUCCUUAAAUCAUCUCUUACUUUCUUUCCUCCUCUCUCCUCUUUCUACAUCUCUUGCUACCCCCUCUUUUUACAUCUUUUUGUUAUAGUUUAAGUCGUAAGAUUUAAAAAUUAAAUUGGAAACUAAUCAAGUUUUUGAGUCUUCAAGAAAAUUGUUUUCAAGAAAUGUUCUUAAAAAAUGUUUUGAGAAAUGAUAAAAAUUUUCAAAUAGGAUACCAAACAGGCCCUUAGUCUCCCGCCUCCACCAAUUUUUUUUAAUUGUAUUGUAUAUAUGAUUCUUUUUUUUUUGGGUCCAAUGUAUGAUUAUAUUUGAAUUGAUUGUUUUAGGCGAUAUGUGUUCUACAAAACUAAUUUCAACGAUCCAAUCGUCAAAAUUGUUUGUGUAUACUCCGAUAUCACAUACGUCAAAAAUCGCAAGAAAUAAAUAUUCAGAGAUUUAAAAGAAAAAUCACGAUUUAACGGUUAUUUUAGCUCCUAUUAUGAUAACUUUUUGUAGCUACACUCCUCGACCCUAUAAGAAUACAAUGAAUGAAUUUGAUCUUCCAUUUAAAAUAUUUACACUAGUGGAUACCAAAAAAUCUUAUGUUAUACUUAAUAGAAGUAUAAAAUAAACUCAUAGUGUUUGUUGAAUCUAUCAUUUUGGCAGGAUACGCAUUAUAUGAAACUAGUUUCAGCGAUCCAACCCUCAAACUUGUUUGUAUAUACUCUGAUGUAGCAUAUGUCAAAAAUCGCAAACAAUAAACAUUUAGAGAUUAGGUAACGGAACGAAAUUUUCAACGGUGAUUAAUUAAAAAUCAUGAUUUAACGGUUAUUUUAGCUCCGAUUUUGAUAUUUUUUUUACAACUACACUCUUCGACCUUAUAAGGAUACAAUGAACUAAUUCGAUAUUCAAUUAAAAAUAUUUACACUAGUGGAUACCACAAAAUCUUAUGUUAUACUUAAUGGAAGUAUAAAAUAAACUCUAAGUGUAUGUUGAAUCUAUCGUUUUGAUGAGACACUCAUUCUACAAAACUAGUUUCAACGAUCCAACUGUCAAACUUAUUUGUAUAUACUCCGAGAUAGCAUACAUAAAAAAUCGCAAAAAACAAACAUUCAUAGAUUAGGUAAAGGGAAAAAAAAUUGACGGUUAUAAACGGAAAAUCACGAUUUUACGGUUAUUUUAGCUUCGAUUUUGAUUUUUUUUUUACAACUAUGCUCCUUUCCCUAUAAGAAUACAAUGAACUAAUUUGAUCUUCAAUUUAAAAUAUUUACACUAGUGGAUACCACACAAUCUAAUAUUUUUUUUCUAGUCAAUGAUCUUUUUCAACGACAACUAUAUGCCCUCAUAAAUAAAUAUCUAUUUUCGAGAGCCAUUGGUUGCCCUCGCAAAAUAGAUGGUUAUUUUUUAAGGCCUCUACUUCCUCUCGCAAAUACACAAUCAUUUCCGAGAACAAAUAAUCAUCAUCGAAAAUAGGGAAAUUACUACCGACGACCACUUGUUGCCCUCGGAAAUAAACAAUUACUUCCGACAACUAAAACAUGCCCUUGGAAAAAAUAAUACUUUACCGACGAAAAUAAGUUUCUUCGUAAAUAAAUGUGGCUCCAAAUUUUCCCUCAAAAAAAUAGCUAUUUCCAACGGCGAAGGAACCCUUUUCCAAGGGCAUUUUGGGUGUUGAAAAUAGUAAACCUCUUGUCGACAUAUUUCUGACGGAGCAUAAUUUUUGGUCGGAAAUAGCAAUUUUUACGAGGGUAUUUAUAGGUCCUCGGAAAAUGUUGGUAGCAAAUGACCAUUUUUUUUGUAGCGACAGUUUAUGAUAUUAAUUGUGUGUAGCUUGAAUGGAGGAAUCCAAUCAUAAGCCAUGUGGAAAAUGAGGGAGAUGGGCUGGUUUUUGUCUCCUACACUAAAAUCUUGUAACUGGGUAAGAUUUAUGAAAUGGGCUUUCGUUAGAAUGCCCUCCCAAAAAUUAGAAGACAGAUGGUGGGAAACUAGCUGAGAGAGUUGUCCCAAACUUUGUGGAAUGAAGCCGUUCAUAAAAUUAGAAUAGAGGUCCAAAGUUUUCAAGGACGACAAGUUUCCAAUGGAAUCUGGAAUUGAGCCGUUCAGAAAAUUAGAAGAAAGGUCCAAAGUUUUCAAGGAUGAUAAGUUUCCAAUGGAAUCUGGAAUUGAGCCGUUUAUGAUAUUAGAAGAGAGGUCCAAAGUUUCCAAGGAUGACAAAUUUCCAAUGGAAUCUGGAAUUGAGCCCCGCAAAUUGUUGUGAUGAAGAUUGAGAUUCUGCAAACUUUUAAACAUUCCUAAGGAGACUGGCAAUUGGCUUCCCAGCUCACAGUAAGCCAAAUCUAGUGACUCUAAUGCAAUAUUUGGACAAUUAUAGAAACUCCUCCAAAACUCUUCUAUCCCCCCAUUAAAUUCGUUGUGAGAAAGGCUUAAGACCUUUAGUUUGCACAAAUUUCCAAUGACUUUAGGAAUUUGACUUUUUAAGCUUGUAUAAGAUAAAUCAAGGUAUUCCAGAGAUUUGAAGUUUGCAAAUUCACUUGGGAAAGGAUCACCGAAAUCAUUAAAGGAUAGAUCAAGUGCUAUGAGGCUGGUAAGAUUAAAAAGUGAUGCCGAGUUAAUGCUCUGCAGUGAGAGUGAAAUGCUUUCAAUUUGGCAUGAAGAUAAGUGUAACUCUGCUAAUGAAGGAAGCAUAUUAACAGCAUACACCCAAUUGACUCCUAUGGUGCUAAGAUUCACAUUUCCAAGAUUAAGGUAUUUUAGAGAAGAGAGGCGAGAAAGCCAAUUCAAAUUUCUGGAAGUUAGGUCAUAGUUCGAAUUGAGGUCAAGAAAACUCAGGCUUGACAGGUUACCAAGAGAAGGGGGAAUCUCUCUCCCAAAUGACGUAGAGGAGAGAUUGGGAUAUUGUAGAGUUUUAAGGUCCCCAAAGAACUUAGGAAUUUGAUUGCUAUGAAAAUCAUUAUAGCUUAGGUCCAGGUAAUUUAAAUGUUUCAAGCUCAACAGAGAAGCAUUUCUCUUACCUCCCAAGCUAAACUUUUCAUACAUGUCCCACUCUUCAUACGGAUUCCGGAGGUCCAUCUUCACCACAUGACCGGUGCGGUUGUUGCACGAAACACCUUUCCAUUGACAGCAAUCGUGACCCACCCAAGAGGAAAGCCUACCAGAAGCAUCAACAAGAUGUCGUUUAAAGAUGAGAAGCGCUUGUCUUUCUUCGUCGAUGCAUGGAUUUGUUUUCACACUGCUUGAAAGUGCACCACCGGCCAAACAGAAACAGAGUUUAGUAGUACUCUGCAUGUAGGAAGAGGUCAAAAGAAAAAGAAGGAAAUAGUGAGCAAUACUGGGGUGAUAGUGGGUAUCCAUAUCACACACAAUUUUCUUUGCUAUGCUUUGGUGAGGGAUGAUGUUUAGCUUCUAAAUUCAAGAAUUUAUAGGAAUAGAUUAUCGAUGUAGAUCGGGGAGUUGCAACGAAAGUCGUCUGAUGGAGAAAAGAAAAAAGGGUAACUGAAAUGAAUGGAUUGUGUUUACAAGUUUGCGAUGGGUUCUAGAAAUCAUCAUGCCGUGGAGACUUUGAAUUAAGGGUCUUUGGAGUCCAUUAUGUGUUGUAGAAAUUCACAACCUAUCAUCUUAUUUAUUCUUCUUUUCCUGUACUAUAAAAUUACGAAAACGAAUUUAGAUAUGUUUUAUAUUUUGUUCGAAGGAAAACAGAUAUAGAUGUGUCAGGUUGAACAAGUUUGCAAGUCCAUCGCCUACACCACACUUGGUGGUACUCUCUACUUGGAUAUGACUGUUGUGUUGUUAAUUACAAAUUUUCUAAACAACGGAAUUGUUAUUAACACUCCAAAAUCGUCAUUGUCACAGAAGUCGCUUUCUCAUUUGUUUUUCACUAAUGAGAAUUACAGAGAUUUUUCUAUGGAAGUUUCCAUUAUUGCGUUCAAUUUGUCAUCUCAACCUAACUGAGAUGAUAGUGGCUGUCCAUUAUUACGCACAAUUUUCUUUGCCAUGCUUUGCUGGAAAUGAUGUUUUUGUUUCCUAUAAAUUGUAGAAGUAGUUCAAACGAAAGUCGUCUGAAGGAGAAAAGAAAAAAGGGCGGGUCUUCACAACCCAUUUUACAAGUUAGCAAAUCCAUUGUCGACACAGCUGGGACCUGAAGAUUUCUAAUUAACGGUCUUCAGCUAGGAACUGUUCUCUUCUUGUGGUGUAAAAUUAUGAAAACGGAUUUAGAAAUGUUUUGUGCCAACGAAAAUGGAUAUGUGUGUCGGUAUGAACAAGUUUGCAAGUCCAUCGCCUACUCCUCACUUGCUGGUACUCUACUUGGAUAUGACUGUCGUGUCGUUAUCCCUUUACAAUUUUCUAAACAACAGAAUUAUUAUUAACACUCCAAAAUAGUCAUUGUCAUACUAGUUGCCUUCUUAUUUGUUUUUUCACUAAUAGGAAAUACAUAUAUUUUUCUAUGGAAUUUUCCGAAUUCUGAUGAAGCCGUGUAGGAGCAGAUGAUAACGAAUGCAUGAUGGAGAUGGCUAGCCACGGAAGUCUUGGCACUCUAAUUAGUCUUUGGUGGAAAAUCCAUGUACAACGGAGACUCUGAAUAGUUAGUCUCCUCCAGCAUCUGUUAGAGAGUAGAAAAUAUAUCAUAAUUGACGACAACAAAGUCCAUUCAAGAACAAAACAAGCAAACAACUGAAAAAAAAAAAGACUUAAAACAAGAACAGAGAACAUUUGUUUGAAACUCUGUUUUGUAGCGACGAGAGGUAGAGAGACAUAAUUCUGAUGUUUGUUCAAUAACGCAGUAUUUUAAGUAAUUUGUCGUACCAACUUUCCGAAAUCGUUAAUUUGUCAUCUCACCCUAACUCCGUUCAAUUUGUCAUAUAACUAAUAUUGGACUAUCAUAUUUCGUUUCCUAUAGUUUGGACUUUGGAGUGUCCCUUAAGCCAACAUCACAGAGAAGGGGUUAUGUGACCGACUAUGACAUAGUAAUUUGGCUUUCUAUACACGUUUUCGUGUGAUAGUUGAAAACACUUAUCUUACAAAGCUUUUUUGGAAAGUGACUUUUACACAACAAUUUUAAUUUGUCACAUACUACUUUUUAUUUCUAACCAUUAAAUUGAAUAAAUCAAACAUAAUCAAUGGAUGUAUAAGAGCAUCUCUAGUGAAGUCUCUAAAUAAAGAUAACCAUUGUAUAAAAUGGGUAUCAAACAAAUAUAGGAACAAAAAUGAAUCUUCAAUGGAUCUGAAAGUGAGUCCCUAAAGUACAGGGACUCAUCGAAUACAUAGUGUAUGUCUCACAUAUAGGGAUUGUAUAGGGACAACCUUGAGUGAAAAACGAAACCCACAAUCUUAAUUGAAGCUUUUAAUGUUUUUAAUUAAUUAAAAAAUGGUUAAAAUAAACAAAAAAAAAAUGUGCACAUUGAGUGGAAAACUGGACUCACAAUCUUAAUUGAAGAUUUUAAUGCUUUUAAUUAUUUAAAAAAUGUUAACAUAAGCAAAAAAGGUGCUCCUAAUCAAAUUAUCACAUAAAAUCAUAAAAACUUCAAAUUUUAAGGACUCUACCAUUGGAGGCAAUAUUCCUUUAGAAACACAUAGAUUCCAUUUUAAGUCAUUAAAUGAGUACUCAAAAGUGGUGGUAGGAAUACCUAAAUAUGGACUUUCAUUGGAGAUACUUGUGUAUUUAUUAU